AACAAACUCAGAAUCUACAGCCACCAUGACUGCACUGGUUCUGCUUUCUGUCUUCAUAGCCUUCAUUCAGGAUUCAGUAUGUCAGAUUUCUGUGAAUCAACCAUCAGCACCAAAGUCAGUGUCUGCCGGAGGGAGCGUCACCUUCAGCUGUACUACUGGGAGUACCGUGUAUAGCUACAUGGCCUGGUACCAGCAGAGACCUGGACAAACUCCUAAACUCCUGAUCUAUAGUGCAAGCACUCGCUACGGUGACACCCCGAGUCGCUUCAGUGGCAGCGGGUCAGGAACUUCAUUCAGUUUGACUAUCAGUGGAGUGCAACCUGAAGACGCUGGUCACUACUACUGUCAGCAGUAUACAGACACCCUCUCACACAGUGAUUGA